UUGGGCGGGUGACAAUUUUGGCCAAUGGCGACCCACUCCUUGUUUACAUAACAAAGACUGAUGUGGAAAGUAAAUAAUAGAUAGCGUAAUUACUUCACAAUCAUGCAAAACUAAGGGCUUUCUUCAAUGGCUCCUGUACUGCACAUGCGUAUUUAUGCAAUUUUCAGGGGAAUUUAGGCUUAUCCAUGAUUUAAAAGAUAGACGAUAAUAUGAAAAUGUUUGCAGUAUUUCUAUGCGUUGCAACUCAAUUGAAUUUUCAAAAACUUACAUUGCUAUCCAUGAUGCAAUCGUAGUUGCACAGGCAACAACUAAACUAUUUUCCCUAUAUUUAUGGUUGUUGGAGUGUUGUUAUAUGUAUAUCAAAAGAACUGUGGCAAAUUAUCUAUUGGUUGGCUUAUGAAGAUGUAUUGGCGUCGUGCAAUGCAGAUUGCCUUACAAAAAAUAUACAUAUAUGAAAAUAAAAAUAGAAAAUAAAGAAGAAUGAGAUCAUACAAGGAAAAAUAAUGAACUGACGUUCUUACUUUGCAUAUUAUUUCGCCAAUCAAUGAUGAUAAGCAUAAAUAAAAUGCCAAGCAGACAAGGUUUUGGAUAGUGGAAAGCGUCCUUAACACGAUACCAGCCUACGGUCAUGGGUAACGCCAUUUGUCAAGGUCUGCAACGUCAGAGCAAAUCUGAAACACAUGGAUAAUUGCAACUCUGGGAAAAAGGUAUAAAAACAUAUUAUAUAUAUUGCUUUCAUCUUUUCUCUCCUAUCCAAAAACAUGACGUAAUUUUAAUUUGGUUACCUAGGUGAAGAAGGGGAAUUCUGGUAGUCAUAUUCCAUCAGCUGCCAAUUCCAGUAAAAAAGAAAAAAAAAAUAUAUUAGCGUUAGCGUACGUAUAACUCAACCAAUUCAAUGAAUAUUCAACAAAGCUAGUGCAGUAUUUGGAAAACACAAAAUGCACUUUUUUUCUUGCAAUAUAAUUUUCUUUAUGAUAUAUAUUAAAUAGCAAAAGACAGUUGGCAACUCGACUAUAUCUUCUACUCAGAUGUCAAAUUCAGCAGGUUUGGUGGCAGUCACUGGAAUACCACCGUAGAUUGUGCCAUUCCUCAUUCUCAGCUCGUAAUUGUAUAUCUGCUCAUCCAUUUGUGAAUCUAUCUCCAAAAUCGGAGACACAUCGACGAAUUAAGAUGGGUAACCUGAAGAAAUGCUGCGUUAUUUUGCUCGUCAUGGGUUUACUGAACCCAGAAGUGACGGGGAGAACCAUAAUGAACCCCAAACUUCGCGUUAGGCGCCAGCCGGACCAAAUCCUACCAACGAAGGCGACGCUGGACACAGCCCCAGAUGUCCUAGACCGAGGUGAAAUAGGCCUACUUCCAUCGGCCAGCGAUCGAGACACAACGAUCAGCUUUGCUCCCGCACCUGCAGCUUUCAAUAUAGAUUCAACCGACUGCACUGGGAUAUGCAACAGCAGAUCAGGCGAUGGACUGUGCGAAUUAGAUGCCGAAUGUUGUGCUAGCACCUUCAAAGGUGCUGAAUACUUGAAGUGUAUUGUGGGUUGAUGCUGUUCAUGUUUGCUGUGAGUCUAUAGAGAUACCAGACCAAGGAUCUUGGUCAGUUCUGUCUAGGACGUAGCAGUUCCAGUUAAUUAUGUUAUUGGCAGUGCUUUUAUUAAUUUUUCUUAUUAUUGUUUCUCACAUAUUCAACUUAAAUGAGCUCCAUACAAUGUUGUAA